UACGUAGGUGGCAAGCGGUAUCCGGAAUUAUUGGGCGUAAAGCGCGCGCAGGCGGUUUCUUAAGUCUGAUGUGAAAGCCCACGGCUCAACCGUGGAGGGUCAUUGGAAACUGGGGAACUUGAGUGCAGAAGAGAAAAGCGGAAUUCCACGUGUAGCGGUGAAAUGCGUAGAGAUGUGGAGGAACACCAGUGGCGAAGGCGGCUUUUUGGUCUGUAACUGACGCUGAGGCGCGAAAGCGUGGGGAGCAAACAGG
rnacentral:rRNA from 1 species